rnacentral:sRNA from 2 species
AUUUUCAGAAUAUUGUUAUCUAUCUAAUUACUUUGAUGAAGCUUAUAAUAACUGUAAAUAAUAUAAUUAUAUCAUUCACUGCUCUGUAUAAAAUGAGAAAGAGAUAGACUGGCCGUGUGACCAUGCAUGGGACUGGGACCAAAUUUUUCCUCAGUCCCAUUAUUAGAUAUCUUAGUCCUGGUCCCAUAUAGUGUUUAGUAAAUUAGUCACUUUACACUGUUUAUAUUAUAAAUCUAGUCCCAGAUCAUGUUUUACUAAUAAAUUAGUGGUCCCAGUCCCAUUUGGUCCCAUUUUACAAAAUGGGACCAAAUGGGACCAUGAUUUACCCUAUAUAGGUUGGCAGCGAUAGAUUAGCAGUGAUAGAUUAGCAGUGGUAGGUAGGUUGGCAGCGGUAGGUAGGUUGGCAGCGGUAGGUAGGUUGGCAGCGAUAGAUUAGCAGUGAUAGAUUAGCAGUGGUAGGUAGGUUGGCAGCGGUAGGUAGAUUGGCAGUGGUAGAUAGGUUGGCAGCGGUAGGUAGGUUGGCAGCAAUAGAUUAGCAGUGAUAGAUAGAUUAGCAGCAAUAGAUUAGCAGCGAUAGAUUAGCAGUGAUAGAUUAGCAGUGGUAGGUAGGUUGGCAGCGGUAGGUAGAUUGGCAGUGGUAGAUAGGUUGGCAGCGAUAGGUAGGUUGGCAGCAGUAGGUAGGUUGGCAGCAGCGAUAGAUUAGCAGCGAUAGGUAGGUUGGCAGCGGCAUAGAUUAGCAGUGGUAGGUAGAUUGGCAGUGG